UUGCCUUGCGGGAUACUCGCCGCGGUGUAUGAAAGGCUUCGAUUUCACGACGAAGCAUGCCCCUCCGCUGAAUCCUCCAUUAGGGUUCAACUGAACGUACCAUGAGACCUUUGCAUCUAGUCUUUGCGUUGGCCUUCUAUGGCCUGCUGGUGUCAGGCAAUGCGCUGGAAUCUGGAGAUGGACCACAUGGAAACCCUCAAGAUCAGGAGUUAAUUAAAUUGGUAGACUUGCAAGAUCCCAUUGGAUGGAGACACCAGCAAAGAAGAGAGCUCAAUGAACAAGGCCGCAAGUCGAAGGUCCCAUAUAGAGCAGGCAGUUACCACUCACAACAUUCAUUCCAUAGUGAGCUUUCCUACCAAGAAAGCUUUCGUAACCGGACCUCCUAGCAUGAGCAAUAAUGAUUAAUGUCGGAAGUCCCCAGUUUGGUGAACUAGGCUUGCUAUUUAAGCUGUAGCCAGGUGUAGCACGUUUUCCAGCGAUGCUACACAGCGUAUUCACUAUUCCUAGGAAAAGAUCCAGGAAACAUGCGAUAUCCUGUGCUGAAAACAAAGAAAACAUUGCAAGCAUGAA